rnacentral:rRNA from 1 species
UUCCGGUUGAUCCCGCCGGAGGCCAUUGCUAUUGGGAUCCGAUUUAGCCAUGCUAGUCGCACGGGUUUAGACCCGUGGCGAACAGCUCAGUAACACGUGGCCAAGCUACCCUAUGGACCGGAAUAACCUCGGGAAACUGAGGCUAAUACCGGAUAUCGCUCCCAUCCUGGAACUGGAGGGAGUCGCAAAUGCUCCGGCGCCAUAGGAUGCGGCUGCGGCCGAUUAGGUAGACGGUGGGGUAACGGCCCACCGUGCCGAUAAUCGGUACGGGUCAUGAGAGUGAGAGCCCGGAGACGGAAUCUGAGACAAGAUUCCGGGCCCUACGGGGCGCAGCAGGCGCGAAACCUUUACACUGCGCGAAAGCGCGAUAAGGGGAUCCCAAGUGCGAGGGCAUACAGUCCUCGCUUUUCUGUACCGUAAGGAGGUACAGGAAUAAGAGCUGGGCAAGACCGGUGCCAGCCGCCGCGGUAAUACCGGCAGCUCGAGUGAUGGCCGCUAUUAUUGGGCCUAAAGCGUCCGUAGCCGGCCGGAUAAGUCCGUCGGGAAAUCCACCUGCUCAACAGGUGGGCGUCCGGCGGAAACUGUCUGGCUUGGGGCCGGAAGAUCUGAGGGGUACGUCCGGGGUAGGAGUGAAAUCCUGUAAUCCUGGUCGGACCACCGGUGGCGAAAGCGCCUCAGAAGGACGGACCCGACGGUGAGGGGCGAAAGCUAGGGUCACGAACCGGAUUAGAUACCCGGGUAGUCCUAGCUGUAAACGAUGCUCGCUAGGUGUGGCACAGGCUACGAGCCUGUGCUGUGCCGUAGGGAAGCCGUGAAGCGAGCCGCCUGGGAAGUACGUCCGCAAGGAUGAAACUUAAAGGAAUUGGCGGGGGAGCACUACAACCGGAGGAGCCUGCGGUUUAAUUGGAUUCAACGCCGGA